CUGGGUGUAGCGCAGUUGGCUAGCGCGCCACUUUGGGGUAGUGGAGGUCGAGUGUUCAAGUCACUUCACUCAGACCA
rnacentral:tRNA from 1 species